ACAAGAUACAUUACAAAAGGUUAGGUUAAAUCGAACAUUGGGUACAACGUCAAUUCAAAGUAAAGCCAGUUUAAUACUUGAACAGUAUAUUUGGAACACAUUUUGGCUUACUUCGUCUUAAAAUAUAAUAAUUUAACGGAAAUUGUUGUAUACAGUCAUGGCAAAUCCAAAACUGAUUGCUGUCAUACUCAUUGGUCUGUUGGUAGUAAAUACUGAAGGUAACAUGGUGUGUUAUGCGUCCUGUUUUGCGGCAGUUGGUGCAUCUGGACCAGCGGCACUUGUUGCACUCGGAUUUACUCCCGCUGGCAUAGUAGCUGGAUCAUGGGCGGCUUGGUGGAUGUCCUUUUAUGGAGGAAAGGUUGCAGCAGGAAGUUUGUUUUCCGCGUUACAAGCCGUUGGUGCAAAGGAAGCAAUGAAAUGGACAGGAAUUCCUUACGUUAAAGCUGUAUGCAACUACCUUUGCUAUGACGAAUAAUUGACAGUAUCUACAGUGUUAUUUUUAAAGUGUUUCAACUAAUCCAAAUGCCUCUAAUAAAGUCAAAUUGCAUUUUUAAAACAUUACAAACAGGUAUUUUAGGUCCGAAUUUCAUUUUAAAUGUUAAACUCUCAAAUUUAUAGUGUUUAUAUGGUUAUUAUUCAAUUUUUCUUUGACGUGUCAUAACAUUUAUUUUAAAAAACCUGAUAUAAAUGUCUUAAAUGUGUUUUUAUAUCAAUUGAUUUUGGAAAUUUCCAACAGCUGAUACAAUUUUGACCGAAGGCUCGAUAUUUAUAAGUUACAAAGCACAGUUUUAAACAUAGUAUUGUUACGUGUGUAAUUGAUUUGGCAAAUGUUUCUUAAGAUAGAUAUAACAUUUAUAAUUGGUAAGUGAUGAUUCUGUUUGAUUUACGUAGUAUGCAUUUUUCAUGUUUUUAUAAUCAAAAUUGAAUUUGACAGUUGAGUUUCGAACUAUGGCAUUUAUAGUUUAGUUUUACAUACAAAAGGAUAUUGCGCUAUUUAUACAUAUCCAUAAUUUAACAUUGUUCAUAUUGUACAAAAGGCAUCUUGUUGUUUGUCAAAAAAGUAGUUAAUUAAAUUUGCAAUUCGUUUUUAACCUUUUCAAAUGAGUAAUGACUAUGGUCUUGUCAAUAAAAAAUGGUCUUGUUCAUAUGCAUUUGGGGCCAUUACAAAAUAUUCUAUGUUAUAAUAUAUUGUUUUUUCAGAAAAAAAGGAGGAGAUGAGAUAUUUAUUUCGAGUAACAUA